rnacentral:rRNA from 1 species
GACGAACGCUGGCGGCGUGCCUAAUACAUGCAAGUCGAACGCAGUGGGGACGGUUUAGUAACACGUGGGUAACCUCCCAUCAGACGGGAUAACACUUGGAAACAAGUGCUAAACCCAUACUGGUUGAUGGACCCGCGGUGCAUUAGCUAGUUGGUGGGGUAACGGCUCACCAGGGCCACGAUGCAUAGCCGACCUGAGAGGGUGAUCGGCCACACUGGGACUGAGACACGGCCCAGACUCCUACGGGAGGCAGCAGUAGGGAAUCUUCGGCAAUGGACGAAAGUCUGACCGAGCAACGCCGCGUGAGUGAAGAAGGUUUUCGGAUCGUAAAACUCUGUUGUUAGAGAAGCGGUAUCUAACCAGAAAGCCACGGCUAACUACGUGCCAGCAGCCGCGGUAAUAC